rnacentral:lncRNA from 1 species
GGCAAUAUAUUUCGACUCGAGGACAAGAAGAAGAGGAGGCAAAAGAGAGUUCUAUAUGCAAGUCAUGGGUUCAGAAGAAAAGAAAAAUAUUGUCGUGUUUGGCCAAAGCACCACUUUUGGCUACCAUUUCAAAACUUGUUCGGGCCAAAUAGACACUUAUUAGUGAAAAGAGAAAGGAGUCGAGGAGGGCGAGAAGAAAGGAUUUGAAGAAUCAAAAGUAAAAAAGAGAAAUCGACUUUAGAAUUUUUGUCCCAAAUCGGCCGGUGAGUCAUAAAAGAUUCACCAUAUAUAGCAAGUUUGAGAGUCAAGUUCUUCAAAAGAAUUAUAGGAUUUUCUAGAAAGUCCGAUGCAAUAGACGUAAAGCCAAAAUUGGUUAAGCCACACGGUGCCUCCGUCGUUGGUAAUUAAAUGUCCUCUUAUGGGAGAGUGAAGAUUCCAUGGUUCAUGUUAUUGUUCAAAAUAAGCUAAGUUUUCUACGGCAGAGGCGAUCUUAGGCAACUGUGGACGCAAUUUUUGGUGAGAUAUUUGGGUGGAGUUGGAGAGAGAACCUUUGGGGCGUAAGCCCUAUUAAAUAGAUAAGAUGAAGAGGAGAAUGGUUUCACUAACCCACCAUCUUUAUCGAAGAAGUAGAAUAGACAAUGAAUGAGCACGAUGUGUGCAUCAAAUUAAAGGCGAGGUGCGGGAGUUGAGCACCUCUUCAACUUCACUGGUCAAGAGCAAAAUCUAUGAUCUUACUUUCCGCUGAUGAGGAGGGCUUAAUCAAAUAUUUCGAUUGUUUGAUAUGAUCUAUUAGCUAGGAUUUUGCUUGGGGAGAGAUAAAUAUUCUGAUUUUUUCAGAGUUUGGCCUAAACUAUCUUGAUUCUGUUUUCGGAUUGGAUUCAUAUUUAUCAAGAAAAUCGAACUAAGAUUCAGACUACUAAGGCUGUAAAUACUAUAUAGAUGAAUAGGAAAGAGACUUUUUUUUGCCAUAGUAUCAACUAUUCAGGCAAUUCAGAAGUAUUAGUUUUCACAUUAUAGCGAGAGUAGGGUCGUAGCUUUCUAAAGUAGCAACAGUCAAAGCCUCUGUAGUUUUAUCUUUUUAUCGUUUCAGCUAAGAACUUCAUCAAAAAACUUUGGCCAUGAUUUUAGGUCUCUACAGUUAUCCUUUCCAAGCUGAAAGCCGUCUACACUCAUCUGACCAAGUUUUUGGCUCGAGGCAAGUAGCCGAACGUAGCAUGCUGUGUUGAGAGUUCAAGACACCAUGGAGAGUCCAAGCCAAAUUAAUUGAGGCUUCACCUAUUGUAAUACAUUUUCUAAUCAACAAGAAGCCCG